rnacentral:rRNA from 1 species
GAUGAACGCUGGCGGCGUGCCUAAUACAUGCAAGUCGAGCGAACAGACGAGGAGCUUGCUCCUCUGACGUUAGCGGCGGACGGGUGAGUAACACGUGGAUAACCUACCUAUAAGACUGGGAUAACUUCGGGAAACCGGAGCUAAUACCGGAUAAUAUAUUGAACCGCAUGGUUCAAUAGUGAAAGACGGUUUUGCUGUCACUUAUAGAUGGAUCCGCGCCGCAUUAGCUAGUUGGUAAGGUAACGGCUUACCAAGGCAACGAUGCGUAGCCGACCUGAGAGGGUGAUCGGCCACACUGGAACUGAGACACGGACCAGACUCCUACGGGAGGCAGCAGUAGGGAAUGUUCCGCAAUGGGCGAAAGCCUGACGGAGCAACGCCGCGUGAGUGAUGAAGGUCUUCGGAUCGUAAAACUCUGUUAUUAGGGAAGAACAAAUGUGUAAGUAACUAUGCACGUCUUGACGGUACCUAAUCAGAAAGCCACGGCUAACUACGUG